CACGCCGUAAACGAUGAGUGCUAGGUGUCGGGGGGAACCCUCGGUGCCGCAGCUAACGCAAUAAGCACUCCACCUGGGGAGUACGAUCGCAAGAUUGAAACUCAAAGGAAUUGACGGGGGCCCGCACAAGCGGUGGAGCAUGUGGUUUAAUUCGAAGCAACGCGAAGAACCUUACCAAGGCUUGACAUCCCUCUGACCGGUGUAGAGAUACACCUUCUCUUCGGAGCAGAGGUGACAGGUGG
rnacentral:rRNA from 1 species